GUGAUGACUAAGUGGUAGAACAUCUGUCUUGCAUGCAGAACGUCCCAGGUUCGAUCCCUGGUGUCUCCA